AUCCUGGUGGCGAGUGGCGAACGGGUGAGUAAUAUAUCGGAACGUGCCCAGUCGUGGGGGAUAACGUAGCGAAAGCUACGCUAAUACCGCAUACGAUCUACGGAUGAAAGCGGGGGAUCGCAAGACCUCGCGCGAUUGGAGCGGCCGAUAUCAGAUUAGGUUGUUGGUGAGGUAAAAGCUCACCAAGCCUGCGAUCUGUAGCUGGUCUGAGAGGACGACCAGCCACACUGGAACUGAGACACGGUCCAGACUCCUACGGGAGGCAGCAGUGGGGAAUUUUGGACAAUGGACGCAAGUCUGAUCCAGCAAUGCCGCGUGCAGGACGAAGGCCUUCGGGUUGUAAACUGCUUUUGUACGGAACGAAACGGUCUGCUUUAAUACAGUGGGCUAAUGACGGUACCGUAAGAAUAAGCACCGGCUAACUACGUGCCAGCAGCCGCGGUAAUACGUAGGGUGCGAGCGUUAAUCGGAAUUACUGGGCGUAAAGCGUGCGCAGGCGGUUAUAUAAGACAGAUGUGAAAUCCCCGGGCUCAACCUGGGACCUGCAUUUGUGACUGUAUAGCUAGAGUACGGUAGAGGGGGAUGGAAUUCCGCGUGUAGCA
rnacentral:rRNA from 1 species